rnacentral:rRNA from 1 species
CCUACGGGUGGCAGCAGUGGGGAAUAUUGCACAAUGGGGGAAACCCUGAUGCAGCGACGCCGCGUGAGUGAAGAAGUAUCUCGGUACGUAAAGCUCUAUCAGCAGGGAAGAAAAUGACGCUACCUGACUAAGAAGCUCCGGCUACCUACGUGCCAGCAGCCGCGGUAAUACGUAGGGGGCAAGCGUUAUCCGGAUUUACUGGGCGUAAAGGGAGCGUAGACGGGAGCUCAAGACUGGCGUGCGAUCCCGGGGCUUAACCCCGGAACUGCAUUUGAAACGGUGAGGCUGGAGUGCAGGAGGGGAGAGCAGAAUUCGUGGUGUAGCGGUGAAAUGCGUAGAGAUUAGGAGGAACACCGGUGGCGAAGGCGGCUUACUGGACUGUAACUGACGUUGAGGCUCGAAAGCGUGGGGAGCAAACAGGAUUAGAUACCCUUGUGGUC